rnacentral:rRNA from 1 species
AACUCCGGGAAACCGGGGCUAAUACCGGAUGGUUGUUUGAACCGCAUGGUUCAGACAUAAAAGGUGGCUUCGGCUACCACUUACAGAUGGACCCGCGGCGCAUUAGCUAGUUGGUGAGGUAACGGCUCACCAAGGCGACGAUGCGUAGCCGACCUGAGAGGGUGAUCGGCCACACUGGGACUGAGACACGGCCCAGACUCCUACGGGAGGCAGCAGUAGGGAAUCUUCCGCAAUGGACGAAAGUCUGACGGAGCAACGCCGCGUGAGUGAUGAAGGUUUUCGGAUCGUAAAGCUCUGUUGUUAGGGAAGAACAAGUGCCGUUCAAAUAGGGCGGCACCUUGACGGUACCUAACCAGAAAGCCACGGCUAACUACGUGCCAGCAGCCGCGGUAAUACGUAGGUGGCAAGCGUUGUCCGGAAUUAUUGGGCGUAAAGGGCUCGCAGGCGGUUUCUUAAGUCUGAUGUGAAAGCCCCCGGCUCAACCGGGGAGGGUCAUUGGAAACUGGGGAACUUGAGUGCAGAAGAGGAGAGUGGAAUUCCACGUGUAGCGGUGAAAUGCGUAGAGAUGUGGAGGAACACCAGUGGCGAAGGCGACUCUCUGGUCUGUAACUGACGCUGAGGAGCGAAAGCGUGGGGAGCGAACAGGAUUAGAUACCCUGGUAGUCCACGCCGUAAACGAUGAGUGCUAAGUGUUAGGGGGUUUCCGCCCCUUAGUGCUGCAGCUAACGCAUUAAGCACUCCGCCUGGGGAGUACGGUCGCAAGACUGAAACUCAAAGGAAUUGACGGGGGCCCGCACAAGCGGUGGAGCAUGUGGUUUAAUUCGAAGCAACGCGAAGAACCUUACCAGGUCUUGACAUCCUCUGACAAUCCUAGAGAUAGGACGUCCCCUUCGGGGGCAGAGUGACAGGUGGUGCAUGGUUGUCGUCAGCUCGUGUCGUGAGAUGUUGGGUUAAGUCCCGCAACGAGCGCAACCCUUGAUCUUAGUUGCCAGCAUUCAGUUGGGCACUCUAAGGUGACUGCCGGUGACAAACCGGAGGAAGGUGGGGAUGACGUCAAAUCAUCAUGCCCCUUAUGACCUGGGCUACACACGUGCUACAAUGGACAGAACAAAGGGCAGCGAAACCGCGAGGUUAAGCCAAUCCCACAAAUCUGUUCUCAGUUCGGAUCGCAGUCUGCAACUCGACUGCGUG